CCUACUGUGGGCAGCAGUGAGGAAUAUUGGUCAAUGGACGAGAGUCUGAACCAGCCAAGUAGCGUGAAUGAUGACUGCCCUCUGGGUUUUAAACUUCUUUUAUAUGGGCAUCAAACGUUCCACGUGUGGGAUUUUGUAUGUACCAUAUGAAUAAGGAUCGGCUAACUCCGUGCCAGCAGCCGCGGUAAUACGGAGGAUCCGAGCGUUAUCCGGAUUUAUUGGGUUUAAAGGGAGCGUAGGUGGAUUGUUAAGUUAGUUGUGAAAGUUUGCGGCUCAACCGUAAAAUUGCAGUUGAAACUGGCAGUCUUGAGUACAGUAGAGGUGGGCGGAAUUCGUGGUGUAGCGGUGAAAUGCUUAGAUAUCACGAAGAACUCCGAUUGCGAAGGCAGUUCACUGGACUGCAACUGACACUGAGGCUCGAAAGUGUGGGUAUCAAACAGGAUUAGAUACCCGUGUAGUC
rnacentral:rRNA from 1 species